rnacentral:lncRNA from 1 species
UGAAAAAGCUGUUAAAUUGACAACUCAAAUCAACAGGAUUGACGUCUCAACAAAAAGCUAAACUUUGGUAUUUCAACACAGAUCUUGAAGAGACUGCAAACUUCAUAGGUGAUGGCUGUUUCCUGCAUUCAGCUAUGUAAUGAAUUAUCUUUGCUGAGGUCUUUGUUUAAACAUCUGCAGUGGUAUGGCUUUAUGACUUCAGAUGGCAGAACCUGGGAUUUGCAAUUCCUAAUACAGGACUUCUUAUACAGCAGGAUUUUUUUUUGGUCAUUUUGCCAACCAAGGACCUCCAUGGCUGGUGAUGCCCCCAUGCCAGCCUGCACCUCACUUGGCCCUGGGCCUGCUGCUGGAGUGCCCCAAGUACUUGGACCACCUGUGUUAUAGCUUGUACCCAUGUUCAGUGGUUCCCAAACUCUUGUUGACGUCCAAGAAGAAAGAGGAUACCCUGACAAUUCAAAGGGUGAGGAGGAUAGAGAGGAAUUUUGUUGAGUGAUAGAACAGCUAUCAGCAGAAAGGCUAUGUGGGGGUGGUCCCCCACCCUGCAAUCAGGUGGUUUAUCUCUCAGUGUGGCUGAGUCUGGGGGUUUUAUGGAGUCAGAAUAGGGAAGUGAAUGCUGAUCGGUUUGUGAGUAUGCAAAGAAAGGCUAAAGCAAAGACACCAUUCAAAGGUGGGCAUGGCAGUGUAGAAAACCAAUUAGGAAAGGAUAGGUAUAUGUAAAAUAGGUGAAGGAUGGGAAACAAUCAGAGGAAUACAUGCUGGGAAGGAAGACAGGUUCCCAAUCUGUUCCCUGGAUUUGACUUGUAGCUUGGCUUUCAAACUUUAGAAUGUCUUCUGCUUGGCAGUGGGGUUUCACUGAGGACUUCUCCCUAUCUGCUUAGGCAUUUGUCUGACUCCUACUGCUAUCACUUGCAUACUGCAAGAAGGGAGAGUGUAAUCUAGUUUGCACUACAUGCCCAGCUGGGAAACAAUUCUGCAGAUUCAAAGUACAACCAGAGCAAUGAAAAUGGCAGAUUUUUUUCAUAAUCAUUAGAGGUGACCAUUCAAGCAUCCAAAUGGGCAGACAGGUUCUCAAUCUGGUCCAUGGAUUUAACUUGUAGCUUGGCUUUCAGGCUUUAAACUGUCUUUGACUUGGAGGUGGGGUUUCACCAGGGACAUACCCUUAUCUGGCUAGGAGUUUGUCUGCCUCCUGAACCUACCAAUUUUCCCUUAUGAAGAGGUACAUCUAACUGCUGUUAGGAGGAGUAUGUUGACAAUCUUAACUGCUUUCUGCUGACAAGAGGCUCUGUUUUGGGAAAAGAGCAGCCAAAUCUGUCUCAGAGGCUUAUGUAAGGGUACCCAGUAAAUAGGAGCCAUUGUCUGAGGCUCUGGUUGCAUGACCGUUUGGAGUUUGAUGGCCUGAAGGUGAGAAGAGACAAACUAGGUUAUUAGAAGACAUGUAUCAGAACUGGGUGUAAGGACAGCUUAAAAAUCCUGAGGCUGCCAACACACUCAGAUAACUAGUGGCUAUAGUUAUGCCUGCCAAGGUUUGGGUACUUGGGGCUUGGCUUUAUUUAGCUCCCUUGGUCUUAUUUUCCCAAAGAAACCUCCAGGUUACAGAUACCCUAUUUACUUCUAUCACCUGGCAGGAUUUGCAGGAUAUUUGCCCAGAACUAGAAUAUUAAUCCAGAUUUUCAUAUUACCCAUCCCUCUGUUUCUCCUGAGCUGCAGCAAGAGAUCACUGGUUGGUUCACAGGAACAAGCACAGUUAGUCUAAAAUGCAGACAAAAACUUAAAAACAACUAAUGAAAUUAGAAUUUAAUAACAAGUGUAUGAUAAUUUUGAAACAUAAUCUUUCUUACUCCAGUCCUCAUUUUUGUUAAAAACAAAUCACUAUAAGACUGAGUUGUUCACAAAAUAAACUUUAGUCUUAUACUUGGCCUGAUUAUUUGCAUAAAGUGCAGCAAGAAUAAUGAUCUUUCACAUAGGUUUUUAAGUUGGCUUUGAUGGAACUCUGUUCCACAAAAAAUCUCAGAUAAGACUUUAAAGCUAAGCCCAGCCAUGAGUUUGUACCUUCAAAUACCUAUGAAUUGGGUAAAAUUCUCUUCCUGAGGUCCCAAGAUAAAUUGGGGCUUCUGAGAUUGUUAGAAAUUGACAUUCUUCGUUAUGAACCCUGCACAGGGGCUGUGUAGGGAAGGUAUGAGGCCAGUUUCCCCUAGGAGCUUUUAUUGGCUCUGCAAGGCAAGCUUGGCUCCUUAAGGGGAAGCACACUCCUCCAGUCAAAUCCUUGCUAAAACCACCAGUUUCUCCAAUUGCAUCCUGUUGCAAAAGAAAAUGGAUUUUUAUUGUACUUAUGCAAAUAAGUAUAUUUCCAUAUGUUAAGAGUGCUCACAAAUAGUUUCCAAAUUCUGGAGAAAGCAGGCAGAGAGAAACAAAU